rnacentral:rRNA from 1 species
UACGUAGGGGGCUAGCGUUGUCCGGAUUUAUUGGGCGUAAAGAGCGUGUAGGCGGCCAGGUAGGUCUGGUGUGAAAACUCGAGGCUUAACCUCGAGAUGUCAUCGGAAACCAUUUGGUUAGAGUCCGGAAGAGGAGAGUGGAAUUCCUGGUGUAGCGGUGAAAUGCGCAGAUAUCAGGAAGAACACCAAUGGCGAAAGCAGCUCUCUGGGACGGUACUGACGCUGAGACGCGAAAGCGUGGGGAGCGAACAGG